UACGUAGGGUGCGAGCGUUGUUCGGAAUUACUGGGCGUAAAGGGCGCGUAGGCGGCACGGCAAGUCAGGAGUGAAAGGCCUGGGCUCAACCGAGGAACUGCUUUUGAGACUGCCGAGCUAGAGUGCAGAAGGGGCAACUGGAAUUCCCAGUGUAGCGGUGAAAUGCGUAGAUAUUGGGAAGAACACCUGAGGCGAAGGCGGGUUGCUGGGCUGACACUGACGCUGAGGCGCGAAAGCCAGGGGAGCAAACAGG
rnacentral:rRNA from 1 species